GCCGUGGGCAUCUGGCACUGCGGCUCCUGCAUGAAGACCGUCGCGGGCGGUGCCUGGACCUACAACACCACUUCUGCUGUCACAGUGAAGUCUGCC
rnacentral:miRNA from 1 species